rnacentral:tRNA from 1 species
GGGGGUAUAGCUCAGCGCUAGAGUGCGUGCUUGGCAUGCACGAGGUCCUGGCUUCAGUCCCCAGCACCUCCA